rnacentral:rRNA from 1 species
AGGGCACCACCAGGAGUGGAGCCUGCGGCUUAAUUUGACUCAACACGGGGAAACUUACCCGGCCUGGACACUGGAAGGAUUGACAGAUUGAGAGCUCUUUCUUGAUUCAGUGGGUGGUGGUGCAUGGCCGUUCUUAGUCGGUGGAGCGAUUUGUCUGGUUAAUUCCGAUAACGAACGAGACUCUAGCCUAUUAAAUAGGCUCUCGGCUUUUAAACGCCGGGAGGACUUCUUAGAGGGACAGGUGGCGGUUCAGCCGCACGAAAGAGAGCAAUAACAGGUCUGUGAUGCCCUUUGUUGUCCGGGGCCGCACGCGCGCUACACUGAAGAGAUCAGCGUGCUUUACGUUCCUGCUCCGACCGGAGUGGGGAACCCAGUGAACCUUCUCCGUGAUUGGGAUAGAAGAUUGUAAUUAUUCUUCUUGAACGAGGAAUUCCCAGUAAAUGCGAGUCAUAAGCUCGCGUUGAUUACGUCCCUGCCCUUUGUACACACCGCCCGUCGCUACUACCGAUUGAACGAUUU